rnacentral:rRNA from 1 species
GAUGAACGCUGGCGGCGUGCCUAAUACAUGCAAGUCGAGCGAACGGACGAGAAGCUUGCUUCUCUGAUGUUAGCGGCGGACGGGUGAGUAACACGUGGAUAACCUACCUAUCAGACUGGGAUAACUUCGGGAAACCGGAGCUAAUACCGUAUAAUAUUUUGAACCGCAUGGUUCAAAAGUGAAAGACGGUCUUGCUGUCACUUAUAGAUGGAUCCGCGCUGCAUUAGCUAGUUGGUAAGGUAACGGCUUACCAAGGCAACGAUGCAUAGCCGACCUGAGAGGGUGAUCGGCGACACGGGAACGGAGACAGGGUCCAGACUCCUGCGGGAGGCAGCAGUAGGGAAUCUUACGCAAUGGGCGAAAGCCUGACGGAGCAACGCCGAGUGAGUGAUGAAGGUCUUCGGAUCGUAAAACUCUGUUAUUAGGGAAGAACAGAUGUGUAAGUAAAUGUGCAGAUCUUGACGGUACCUAAUCAGAAAGCCACGGCUAACUACGUG